rnacentral:rRNA from 1 species
UUGAUAACAUUUGAGUGAGUGGCGGACGGGUGAGUAACACGUGGGUAACCUGCCCUAAAGUGGGGGAUAACAUUUGGAAACAAGUGCUAAUACCGUAUAAUACCAACAACCGCAUGGUUGUUGGUUGAAAGAUGGUUCUGCUAUCGCUAAGAGAUGGACCCGCGGUGCAUUAGCUAGUUGGUAAGGUAACGGCUUACCAAGGCAAUGAUGCAUAGCCGAGUUGAGAGACUGAUCGGCCACAAUGGGACUGAGACACGGCUCAUACUCC